UAUUUCUUCUUCUUCAUCCUCUUCUGGGUCAACAUUAACUUUAUAUUCAUCUCUACGAGAGGCGGCUAACGGUGUGUGUGUAUGUGUGUGUCUGUGUGUGUGUGUGUGUGUGUGUGUGUGUGU